ACAGCAGUCGCCACGGUAAUACGAAGGGGGCUAGCGUUGCUCGGAAUGACUGGGCGUAAAGGGCGCGUAGGCGGAUUGAUCAGUCAGACGUGAAAUUCCUGGGCUCAACCUGGGGGCUGCGUUUGAGACGGUUGAUCUAGAGUUUGGAAGAGGGUCGUGGAAUUCCCAGUGUAGAGGUGAAAUUCGUAGAUAUUGGGAAGAACACCGGUGGCGAAGGCGGCGACCUGGUCCUUGACUGACGCUGAGGCGCGAAAGCGUGGGGAGCAAACAGGAUUAGAUACCCGCGUAGUCCCUGUCUCUUAUAC
rnacentral:rRNA from 1 species